rnacentral:tRNA from 1 species
UUCCUGGUGGCCCAGUGGCUAAGACUCUGCAUUCCCAAUGCAGGGGGCCUGGGUUCAAUCCCUGGCCAAGGAA